rnacentral:tRNA from 1 species
CAGGAAAUAGUUUAAUAAAAAUUUUAAUUUUGGAGAUUAAAGAUAGUAAGUAUAUUUUUUCUGA